UACGUAGGGAGCAAGCGUUGUCCGGAAUCAUUGGGCGUAAAGCGCGCGUAGGUGGCUUCGUAAGUCCGUUGUGAAAGUCAAAGGCUCAACCUUUGAAAGCCGAUGGAUACUGCGGAGCUAGAGUACGGAAGAGGCGAGUGGAAUUCCUGGUGUAGCGGUGGAAUGCGCAGAUAUCAGGAGGAACACCGGUGGCGAAGGCGGGUCUCUGGGCCGAUAUCGACGCUGAGGAGCGAAAGCGUGGGGAGCAAACAGG
rnacentral:rRNA from 1 species